rnacentral:rRNA from 1 species
UACGGAGGGGGCUAGCGUUGUUCGGAAUUACUGGGCGUAAAGCGUACGUAGGCGGCUUUGUAAGUUAGAGGUGAAAGCCCGGAGCUCAACUUCGGAACUGCCUUUGAUACAGCACGUCUUGAGUCCGAUAGAGGUGGGUGGAAUUCCUAGUGUAGAGGUGAAAUUCGUAGAUAUUAGGGAAGAACGACCGGGUGGCGAAGGCGGCCCACUGGAUCGGUACUGGACGCUGAGGUGCGAAAGCGUGGGGAGCAAACAGGG